GCACACCUCGCGCCCUCCACACGCGCAACCUAAGCGACGCCCGCGUGGACACGUCGGCAUCCAGUUUGUCCAGGACUGCCUCCACACCACUUCGCGCGCUUGCUUUCGGUGCGCACAUGUUACGGGUGUCGCUGGCAUGUCGAGUCACCGCUGCUCGGAGUGCAGCUCCGCACACCGCGAGCAGCUCAAGCUCUCUCGUCGAAUCCGUGACCUCGGUCUUCCACUCUUCGCGGUACCUGCGCCACGCUCCGCCGCGGCUCUACGUGACAUGCUCUCAUGAUCAAGGCAUUCCGCUCCACGGUUGCGGGCGGCACAUGACAACAGUGCUUGACGUGUCUCGCGAGGCGUCGCCGAACGCCCCGCCUCACACGCAAUCCAUCUAUCUCUUAACGUCCACGAGCAUAUCCGAUGUCGAGUUCAAGGAUCCAGCGGCGCAGUCGCAGGUGCUCGUUGGACUGCCGCAGGUGCAGAGCAUCGACGCCGUACACCGCUUCUGCGACGCGUACGCCGCAACGCUGAGCCGCGUCCACCACGUCCUCCUCCCCGGUGGCGUCUCUCCCCUCCAGAGCUCACUCAUCAAGCAGCUUCUCGAACACAUCCCGCAGGCGCGACUGGUAUGCAACGGCUUUGGGCACGCGCUGCUCACAAACGCCACGUUUCACGAUGGCGUGCAGCGCGCAGUGCUGGAGAACGCGCCCAACGCACCGCUGGAGCUGCUGCGCUUCGCAGAGCUUCCGGAGGAUCGCGUGUCGGCCAUGGCGGACGGGGAUACGGUGGCCGUCGACGUGGCAAAAAGCGAAGCGGAGGUGUCCGCGCCGGCAGCAGCGCGGGCGCUGCGUGUUGUGGCUGUCAAGAGCAAGGGACAGCAACAGCGGCGCAGGGAACACAGCCAGACGCACCACCCAGCGCACUUCACCAACGAGGCGCUCUUCUACUAUGAUGACGUCUUCAACGCGCUUUUCGUGGGCCACACGUUGCACCGCUUGCCGUGGCUCCCCACCGUGCUCACGGAAGCCUCGCGCGAGCUUUUUCUGCCCAUGCCUCCUCCCCUUGCCAUGCAGCACCAGCUCAGCCGACCAAGCCCGCUGCUCGACACAUGGCGGGUGCUGGAGAGCUGCGAGGACGUGGUUGAGGCACUGCGUCGUACGCCAGAGCUGGAGCGCGUCCUUGCAGGCUCCUACGGUGAGCUCUGCGGCAACGUGGAGGACUGUAUCGCAGGGCUGGAGAGCAGCAGCGAUGCUCUCGAGCGUCUGCGCAGCCGGCUCGCGCGGCGCCUCUCCACCGACACGAGUCGUGAUGUACACCGCUGGUCCACCGCACUGCUGAAGCGCAUUGUGCACGAGGUGGUGUGCACGCAGAAGGCAAGCGAGCCGACGAGCUCCGAGGUGCAGGAGGCGUUCCUUUGCUGGGCAAGGUCAGACGGGGAGUGGGGGCGCCUCUCCACUUGCCUCGCACACGCUGCCAUGGUGCUACCUCCUUCGACGGAGUCGGGGGAGGCCGACGGCGCAUCUUCGUCUGCCACGGACAGCUUCGCCGCGCAUGAUAGUGUACCCGCAGCCGGAGAGUCUUCUGCACCGGAGGCACUGCAGGGCACACAUGGCGUGGAGUUACUAGUGGCGGUGUUCAACCGGAAGGGGUUGAAAGGGCUCAUUCGCACAGUGCAACGCGAGACGAUCGACGUGCAGGUGUUCCUGGCCAUGUCGGAGGAGGACUUGAAGAAGGUCUUCAAGGCAACUUUCGGCAUCACCAAGCGACUCAUGCUGCUGCAAGACGAGCUGCGGAAGAACUUGUAGGCGAAGGGCCGAGUUCGCGCUGGACAAUGAACAAGGAGUGCGCCGCUGCACCUGGUACCGCGCCCCACCAGCGCUCAUGGCACGUUGGACGCCAGCCUGGCCACCGCGACGGAGAAUGGGCUGCUGCGCACUUGGACAGUGACCGCUUUAUCCACCUAAUUGCACACUCCACAGAUACGAUGGCACACACACACACGCGCGCGUCGUCUGUGCCACUGUCCUAACAAGGAUAACCAGCCUCGAAAAACAUUAUACAUAACCGAAGAGUUCCCCGUGACGCUUGGCGCUCUCGAAAAGGGGAGGGCCAUGCAGAUGUGCGCAGGCGGUGCCUUGCACUCGAAACCUCGGGCGUGCUGCUGAAAGGGGGAGGAGGCGGUGGAGGCGAGGUGCCGUUCACUAAACCACACCGAUGCCUCCGCUGUGCUUUCUAUUUCUCUCGUGUCCUGUAGUGCCACAGCGCGCCGCUCUUGCCAUGGCCGCCGUCGUCACCGCCAUCAUCCAUGCGCUUGAGUGAUGCGCUGUUGCGUCUGACGCGCACAUUACUUGCAGAGCGCGAGGAGUUCUCGCGAAGCGAUGUGAGCCCCGUCUAGUUGCAGCAGCUUCCGUGGCAGUAUGCCGGCCUGUCAGCUCGCGUCACCACGCCGACGGUGGCGACCGUCGGCGGGCUGCCUGCCGCGCCGCCUUUCUUUGCGUGCCCGAACGUGCAGGUGACGACCCUCUUUCCGAGGUACCCGGACGGUGGCAAUUCCACCUUCUACCUCCGCCAUCUGCAACCGUGACAGGCACCGUCAUGUCAACCGUGGCGCGACGCAGACACGUGGCAAGUGCCGCAAGGAAGCGGAAAGGUACUAGGCGGGCGGACACAGUGUCGUGAUCGACAACACACGUACCCCGGCGCGGUGGAUCGGCAGGCGCACAUUGAGAUUGUGGAGCGGGUGCCGUCAGCAAAGAAGAAGACGGGCACCGCUGCGGCCGAUAGCGCGGGGGUGGGCGUGACAGCAACACGACCCGCCGAUGCCGGCGCGCAUUCUUAUGCUCAUGCACUCGCGCGAGCUGGCGGGACAUGUAAACCAGGCGCGAGCGCAGGCGCAAAGAGUUCCUCGCCUGUCCUCCAUUGCGCACAGCGUCUAUCAGCCAGGAUGGGGGCGAUUAGCCACGCCAGUGAAGGCGACGACGUUGCGCGCCGACAGGGUUUGGGUGCUGCCGGUCGCUGUGUGUCUUGACAGUGCGCCCGCACGGACGUAAGAGACCUUCUUUCAUCUAUUUUAGCGGUGCCGCGGCAGCUGCUCUGGUUCACUCUCUAUGCGGCUGGCAUAGAUAGCGCAAGAGAGGGCUAUUGAACGCCGGCUGACGAGGCGGGGUUCGGUGCGUGUUUCAGGAGCCGACUGUGCUUUCACUCUCGUAACGGUGGGGUGCCAUUCAUCUGCGGUGCGCUGCCAGCGUUUCGGCCUCGUGCGCGCGAGCGCUGAGCGGCAGCUCCGGCCUCCCUCUUCCCUCUCCUACGCGCCAGUAAGGCCUCAACAGCAGCUUGAAACGACAGCGUUGGGGCGAGAGCCACCACUUCCCAG
rnacentral:misc_RNA from 1 species